rnacentral:rRNA from 1 species
ACAUCCAGAGAAUUUAGCAGAGAUGCUUUAGUGCCUUCGGGAACUCUGAGACAGGUGCUGCAUGGCUGUCGUCAGCUCGUGUUGUGAAAUGUUGGGUUAAGUCCCGNAACGAGCGCAACCCUUAUCCUUUGUUGCCAGCACGUAAUGGUGGGAACUCAAAGGAGACUGCCGGUGAUAAACCGGAGGAAGGUGGGGAUGACGUCAAGUCAUCAUGGCCCUUACGAGUAGGGCUACACACGUGCUACAAUGGCGCAUACAAAGAGAAGCGGCCUCGCGAGAGCAAGCGGACCUCAUAAAGUGCGUCGUAGUCCGGAUUGGAGUCUGCAACUCGACUCCAUGAAGUCGGAAUCGCUAGUAAUCGUAAAUCAGAAUGUUACGGUGAAUACGUUCCCGGGCCUUGUACACACCGCCCGUCACACCAUGGGAGUGGGUUGCAAAAGAAGUAGAUAGCUUAACCUUCGGGAGGGCGUUUACCACUUUGUGAUUCAUGACUGGGGUGAAGUCGUAACAAGGUAAGCGUAGUGCU